AUACGGAGGACGCGAGCGUUAUCCGGAUUCAUUGGGUUUAAAGGGUGCGCAGGCGGCCGUGCAAGUCAGCGGUGAAAGCCCGGGGCUCAACCCCGUCUCGCGUCGCGAACUGCGUCCCUUGGUUGCGGGAAGGGGAGGCGGAACUCGUGGGGGAGCGGGGAAAUGCACAGAUAUCACGAAGAACUCCGAUCGCGAAGGCAGCCUUCCGGCCCGUCAACGACGCUCAUGCUCGAAGGUGCGGGUAUCAAACAGGAUUAGAUACCCUGGUAGUCCGCACAGUAAACGAUGGACACCCGCGGUUUGGCCUGUAUGGCUGAGCCGCCAAGCGAAAGCGUUAAGUGUCCCACCUGGGGAGUACGCCGGCAACGGUGAAACUCAAAUGAAUUGACGGGG
rnacentral:rRNA from 1 species